rnacentral:rRNA from 1 species
ACACUCCUGCGGGAGGCAGCAGUGGGGAAUAUUGGACAAUGGGCGCAAGCCUGAUCCAGCCAUGCCGCGUGAGUGAUGAAGGCCCUAGGGUUGUAAAGCUCUUUCACCGGAGAAGAUAAUGACGGUAUCCGGAGAAGAAGCCCCGGCUAACUUCGUGCCAGCAGCCGCGGUAAUACGAAGGGGGCUAGCGUUGUUCGGAAUUACUGGGCGUAAAGCGCACGUAGGCGGGUCGAUCAGUCAGGGGUGAAAUCCCAGGGCUCAACCCUGGAACUGCCUUUGAUACUGUCGAUCUUGAGUAUGGAAGAGGUGAGUGGAAUUCCGAGUGUAGAGGUGAAAUUCGUAGAUAUUCGGAGGAACACCAGUGGCGAAGGCGGCUCACUGGUCCAUUACUGACGCUGAGGUGCGAAAGCGUGGGGAGCAAACAGGAUUAGAAACCCGAGUAGGCCCA